rnacentral:rRNA from 1 species
CGAACGCUGGCGGCGUGCCUAAGACAUGCAAGUCGUACGAGAACGCCAUCUUCGGAUGGUUAUUAGAGUGGCAAACGGGUGAGUAACGCGUGGGUAACCUGCCUCGAGGUCUGGGAUAACUCCGGGAAACUGGGGCUAAUACCGGAUAAGACCACGAGCUCUUCGGAGCUUGCGGGAAAAGGUGGCCUCUUCUUGAAAGCUACCGCCACGAGAUGAGCCCGCGUCCCAUUAGCUUGUUGGUGAGGUAACGGCUCACCAAGGCUCCGAUGGGUAGCUGGUCUGAGAGGACGAUCAGCCACACUGGAACUGAGACACGGUCCAGACUCCUACGGGAGGCAGCAGUCGGGAAUUUUGGGCAAUGGGCGCAAGCCUGACCCAGCGACGCCGCGUGAGCGAUGAAGGCCCUCGGGUCGUAAAGCUCUGUCGGAAGGGAAGAUGGGAGCGAAGGCAAAUAGCCUAGCUCUUGACGGUACCUUCAAAGGAAGCGCCGGCUAACUCCGUG